GAUGAACGCUGGCGGCGUGCCUAAUACAUGCAAGUCGAGCGAACGGACGAGAAGCUUGCUUCUCUGAUGUUAGCGGCGGACGGGUGAGUAACACGUGGAUAACCUACCUAUAAGACUGGGAUAACUUCGGGAAACCGUAGCUAAUACCGGAUAAUAUUUUGAACCGCAUGGUUCAAAAGUGAAAGACGGUCUUGCGGUCACUUAUAGAUGGAUCCGCGCUGGAUUAGCUAGUUGGUAAGGUAACGGCUUACCAAGGCAACGAUGCAUAGCCGACCUGAGAGGGUGAUAGGCCACACUGGAACUGAGACACGGUCCAGACUCCUACGGGAGGCAGCAGUAGGGAAUCUUCCGCAAAGGGCGAAAGCCUGACGGAGCAACGCCGCGUGAGUGAUGAAGGUCCUCGGAUCGUAAAACUCUGUUAUUAGGGAAGAACAUAUGUGUAAGUAACUGUGCACAUCUUGACGGUACCUAAUCAGAAAGCCACGGCUAACUACGUG
rnacentral:rRNA from 1 species